GACAUACUCCCUCCGUUUUAAAAUUCUUAUCUUAAGUUUGUCUAGAUAUGAAUAUACCUAGUCACAUUUUAGUAUUUAAAUACAUUUAUUUCUAGACAAACUUAAGACAAAAAUUUUAGAACGGAGGAAGUACUUA
rnacentral:pre_miRNA from 1 species